UACGAAGGGAGCUAGCGUUGUUCGGAAUCACUGGGCGUAAAGCGCACGUAGGCGGAUGUGUCAGUCAGGGGUGAAAUCCCGGAGCUCAACUUCGGAACUGCCAUUGAAACUGUAAAACUUGAGGACGAGAGAGGUGAGUGGAAUUCCCAGUGUAGAGGUGAAAUUCGUAGAUAUUCGCAAGAACACCAGUGGCGAAGGCGGCUCACUGGCCCGAUACUGACGCUGAGGCACGAAAGCGUGGGGAGCAAACAGG
rnacentral:rRNA from 1 species